GGUUAGAGCGCGCGCUUGAUAAGCGUGAGGUCGGAAGUUCAAGUCUUCCCAGGCCCACCAUUUUGAUCGAGUGCGGAGCAUUCGUCUUCUGGUACGGGGCCAUAGCUCAGCUGGGAGAGCGCGUGCUUUGCAAGCAUGAGGUCGUCGGUUCGAUCCCGUCUGGCUCCACCAGAUGGAAUUGAAGCUCGAGAAUGCCUCGUUCAAUCGUCCGCGAAACAUCACUUCGCACUCAUUGGUCCGGAUGGACGGUGACGUGCGUGUUUUCUGACAUCGUAAAGAGGAGAUCGAUCCGAGUUUGGAUCUGCGAAGCAAUUCGCGGGUACCAUUCCUAAUCUCCAGAUCGUUUUCGGCGCUCGUUCAUCGCUACUCAUCGCAAGAUGAGUGAGAUGAUCGAGUUGUAAAACGAUCUUUGUAGCGAAGCUUGACCGCCUCGCUAUCGGGCCGAUCUUACGAAGCAAGCUGGUCUUUCUAGUCAAUGUCGGGCUGUGCAAUCGCAUUCAUCGAGGAUGCGCGCCUGGGACUUCGGUCUUUGGGCAAUUACACAGACAACAUUCUGCCGAGUGUGUGGACAUUGAUAAUGAGAGCAAUCAAGUGCCUUAAGGGUGUUCGGUGGAUGCCUUGGCGCUGAGAGGCGAUGAAGGACGUGCUACGCUGCGAUAA
rnacentral:misc_RNA from 1 species